AAUGAACGCUGGCGGCGUGCUUAACACAUGCAAGUCGAACGGUAACAGGAGCAGCUUGCUGCUUGCUGACGAGUGGCGCACGGGUGAGUAAUAUAUAGGUUACGUGCCUCUUAGUCUGGGAUAGCCACUGGAAACGGUGAUUAAUACUGGAUAUUCCUGCUUGCAGGGAAAGGUUUUUCGCUAAGAGAUCGGCCUAUACUGUAUCAGCUAGUUGGUGAGGUAAGAGCUCACCAAGGCGAUGACACAUAGCGGGUUUUGAGAGGAUGAUCCGCCACACUGGGUACUGAGACACGGGACCAGACUCCUACGGGAGGCAGCAGUGAGGAAUAUUGCACAAUGGGGGAAACCCCUGAUGCAGCAACGCCGCGUGGAGGAUGACGCAUUCGGUGUGUAAACUCCUUUUAUCAGAGAAGAACAUGACGGUAUCUGAUGAAUAAGCUCCGGCUAACUCCGUGCCAGCCGCC
rnacentral:rRNA from 1 species